CAAGGAUGGCAGCACUGAUGUUCAUCUUGGUGAGGGAAGGAGCGCAUCCAGGAAUUCCAGCUGUUAUGGGGAAUGAUGCUGCAGAAGGACUGCUUAGUUUGGAGCAUUUCUAUUCCAGUGGUGCAAUGUCAAGUAAAUCAACAGGUUUCAGCAAUCUGUAUUUGUUAGUCUAGCCCAGCAGUGACAGCUACAUGAACUGAAGCCAUGGUGCUUCCACUACUACUCCCAAACCAGCUGGCAGAUGUUGAAGUUUUUUAGAUUAAAGAAGUAGUCUGGACCCAGAAAACACUGCUGGGUGGGAAAACCAUGUGUAAAGUAUGUCUUUGUUGCAUAUCAUCUUACUGGAGCACAGCU
rnacentral:lncRNA from 1 species